rnacentral:lncRNA from 1 species
UGAACGGCAACUGGACUUCCAUCGCGCCCGAAUUGCUAGAGUUUAAUUACACGAUUCCGUCAGUCGAACAUCACGCUGUUUCCGAAUUGAUAAGGCAACAUUACCUGGGAAAUUCGGUCCAGAUCGACAACUCAACAAUCUCGCCACUCGUCAGGAUGAUCAGCGAUCGAUUGUACGUCUACGACGCCGCGGUUGCCCGUACUCUUUUACUACUUCACUUACAGAGGAAACCACAGUUUCAGCGAGUAUUACAGCGGUGGAAGCACUGAGAAUUUCGGAGUGAGUCACCUAGACGAUCUCGGUUACGCGAUGGACUCGUUUUUCGAUCCAACAACGACGAAAGACGAUCGGGAAAUCCAAGAAGUUAUGAUUAAUCUGUGGGUAUCUUUCGCAAAGAACGGCAAACCUGAUCUGAGUGUCGGAUGGAACGAGUUGAGCAAAAGUGACGACAGUUUUAGUUACCUGAGAAUAGCAGGACCGAAAGAUCUUUACAUGGAAAACAACGAAAACUUUGGGCAAAAGAAUUUUUGGCUCGGUAUAGAUUUUCGUGAAAAUACUUGGUAAAAUAGCUACACUUC